rnacentral:rRNA from 1 species
GAUGAACGCUGGCGGCGUGCCUAAUACAUGCAAGUCGAGCGAACGGACGAGAAGCUUGCUUCUCUGAUGUUAGCGGCGGACGGGUGAGUAACACGUGGAUAACCUACCUAUAAGACUGGGAUAACUUCGGGAAACCGGAGCUAAUACCGGAUGAUAUUUUGAACCGCAUGGUUCAAAAGUGAAAGACGGUCUUGCUGUCACUUAUAGAUGGAUCCGCGCUGCAUUAGCUAGUUGGUAAGGUAACGGCUUACCACGGCAACGAUGCAUAGCCGACCUGAGAGGGUGAUAGGCCACACGGGAACUGAGACACGGUCCAGACUCCUACGGGAGGCAGCAGUAGGGAAUCCUCCGCAAUGGGCGAAAGCCUGACGGAGCAACGCCGCGUGAGUGAUGAAGGUCUUCGGAUCGUAAAACUCGGUUAUUAGGGAAGAACAGAUGUGUAAGUAACUGUGCACAGCGUGACGGUACCUAAUCAGAAAGCCACGGCUAACUACGUG